CAAAACCAGGAGCUUUAAGAGCAGCAAUCUUCAAUGCACCUCUCAGCUUGUUCACGACAAGAGUUGCCAGUGCUUCUUGCUCAAUAUCUUCUGCAAUAAUCAAAAUUGGGUAUGCACCUCUAAUCGCAUCUUCCAAAACGUUGAUAAGGUCCCUUGCAUUGGUAAUCUUUUUAUCCACAAGAAGCAACUGAAAAAAAGUACACAACAUAAACAUUAACCUUUACAGGAUAAAAAACAAGAGUAAUUUUAUGGCGGGCGAAUGUAAGAAGUUGAAAGUCAUGAUAGAUUUUAUACCUUGCAGUUCUCAUAUUCAACUGCCAUUUUCUCACUAUCAGUGACGAAGUAGGGAGAAAUAUAACCACGAUCAAAUUGCAUUCCCUCAACAACAUAGAGCAUAUUCUCAGCACUUUUUCCCUCUUCAAGGGUCACCACACCCUUACGUCCCACUUUACUCAUGGCUUCUGCAAUCAUAUUCCCAACUUCAUAGUUGUUCCC
rnacentral:lncRNA from 1 species